rnacentral:rRNA from 1 species
AUGUCCACCACCGCACACCCUCCUGCCUCCCUCUCAGGGGACUCCUCGCCGACUACCUCCGGCUCAUUCUCCCCCUCCUCCUCCGCCGCCGUCGCUGGCUCCGAUGAGCCCGCGCUUCUCGGGCAAGCCACCUCGACUUCCACCCCCUCUGCUGCCGGGGAUGACGCCACCGUACCCUCCUCGCCCCAAAUGGGCAUGUACUUCGAGACGGAGGACGACGCCUACGAGUUCUACAAGGCAUACGCCGCCCGCCUUGGCUUCGUCGUCCGCAAGUCCAACAAGUCCAAGAACUCCCGGCACACCGUCACCCGCCGUCUCUUCGUCUGCUCCAAGCAAGGUUUCCGCCAAGAACCCAAGAAGCCUCAAGAUGAGACCAACGCCACCGACGUCACCGUUGCUGCACCGCCACCGCCUCCUAGGUGCCCGGACUCACGCACCGGCUGCCUGGCGUCCCUCACCAUCAAGCUACUCCCUUCGGCCAAUGCCUUCCGUGUCACUGAGUUUGUAGCCCAGCACAACCACCCGCUCGCCUCUGCAGUGUCCGCGGUGUCACUGGCAAUGAUUCCGUCAAGUUCUUCGCAUCACACCAUUGCCGCUGCGGCAAGCUUGCCGGACCCAAGGGACGGGCCACGCCCAGAGAUGCACUUCGAGACGGAAGAUGACGCCUAUGCCUUCUACAACCGGUACGCCGAGCAUGUGGGUUUCAGCGUCCGCCGCUCAUACAAGAAGCGCAAGCAUGGGGUGAUCGUGUCUCGUAUCUUUGUUUGUUCCCGUGAGGGCGUCAGUGACCGUGCCAAGCAUGAUGGCCUAGCCAGUAUCAGCGCCAAUGCUGGUGGAGGGGCACCAGGCACACCUAGGCCAGGCCCACCACCAACACGAACAGGUUGCCAGGCAAGAAUGGUGAUCAAGAUCACCCCAUGCCGAACAUACCGGGUUGCUAAAUUUAUUUCGGAGCAUAAUCACCCACUCGCUAACUCAGAGACCGUGCACAAGCUGCGGUCCCAUAAGAUGAGGGCUCGAGGGCACGAGCUUGGCCCAGGGGAACUGCAUCGAAGGAAGCAGGGAAAGGGUGUGCAGCUUGGGGAUGCUGGUGCUGCAUUGGAAUACUUGGAAGGGUUGCAGGUGGGAAACCCUUCACUGUAUUAUGCAGUAGGAAUGGCACCUGAUGGGAAUUCAGCUGUAAAUUUCUUCUGGGCUGAUGCAAAGUCAAUCAUCGACUUCAGAAGCUUUGGUGAUGUCGUUUGCUUUGAUACAACAUAUGGGCUGAAUGUGUAUGGGCGACCAUUUGCAUUGUUUGUUGGUGUGGACAACCACAAGCAGUUACUCGUGUUUGGUGCAGCCUUGCUCUAUGAUGAUGGCAUCCAGUCACUGAAAUGGGUAUUUCAGGCGUUUGCUGAUGCCAUGCGUGAUAGGCAGCCAAAGACUAUUCUGAUUGAUGAGCGUUCUGAAUGUUCCAUUGCAGCAGCAGAGGUCUGGCCUGGGAGUAACCAUUGCACAAGCGUGUGGCAUAUAUACCACAGUUCAAAGAGGCACUUGAAGCAGGUGUUCGAAAGCUCGAAAAGUUUUGGCAAUGCUUUGAGCCAGUGUCUCUUUGACUGUGAGGAUAAGAUGGAGUUCUUGUCUGCAUGGGAAAAGCUAAUUGAGAAACAUGACAUUGGUGAGAGUGAAUGGCUCAGCAGACUAUUUCUAGAGAAAGAAAAAUGGGCUCUGCCUUAUAGGAGAACUGUGUUUUCUGCUGAUAUUCUCAGUACUCUUAGAAAGGAUAGUAUGAUUAAUGAGCUAAAACGGGAGCUCAGUGAGCAAGAAGAUAUUCUGCUGUUCUUCAAGCGUUAUGAGACCAUACUGGAAGAGCAUCGCUCAAAGAAAUUGCAGGCUGAUGUUGAUGGAAAUCAGGUGACUUUGCCAAUCCCGUCCUUGCGAAUGUUAAAACAAUCUUCAAAUGCAUAUACACCUGAAGCUUUCAAGAUGUUCCAGGGUGAGUUUGAGGCUUACAUGAACUGCAUGUCCUUCCCCUGCAGUGCGGUUGGGACAGUGUCAGAGUACAAAAUAACACUUGAUGAGAAGCCAUUAGAGGCCAUUGUGAAAUUUGAUGCACUAGAUGGCUUGGGCACUUGCAGCUGCAGGAAGUUUGAAUCUGUUGGAAUCCAGUGUUGUCAUGUACUAAAGGUACUUGAUCUCAAGAAUAUCAAGGAGCUCCCAGAACAAUACAUUUUGAAGAGAUGGAGGAAAGAUGCCCGCUCUGUUAGAAUGGGAGAAGAACCUAACUGUGGAUCUAGCAGUAUCAUGCGGUCAUCUUUGGAUGUUCGCUUCUCUAACAUGUGCCGUAUGGUUAGCCUUAUAGCUUCAAGGGCCGCCAAAUCUGAGGAGGCAAUGUCAUACAUUGAGAGUCAAUCAAGCGUUCUUCUGAAGCAUCUGGAUGAAAUUCUACAGACAGGCUAUCCUGAGAAUGGAAACCAUGAUGUUGCUUCAAGUAGUCAAGCAAUUUCUUUUGUAGGAAAUCAUCCUGACCAUACAACACAAGCAAGAGCAGUUGCACAUACAGCGAAUGGACUGACAUCCUUGUUGGGAAUUUCUGCUUAUCCUGAAUCCAGUGGACAAUUGAAAGGUUCAGUCGGUUCCUUGUAG